rnacentral:rRNA from 1 species
AUGGAUUCCGUGGCCACAGUCGCCGACCUUGGCGCCCUGAUCUCCGACGCAUGCCGCGACGCGGAGAUGCUGCCGGGCGCUCUGAUCUCGUGCGGCGUCGCCGAGGCCGCCGCGGCGCUCUGCCUCGUCAUCUCCAAGGCGCCCGGCGGUGUGUUCCUCCACCACGGCAAAGCGCCAUUCGUUCUGUACUACGGCAUCCUCGUCGCCGUGUUCAUCUUCGGGCUCCUCGAGGCGUCGGCCGGCUUCUGGGUGUCAGGCGACGUGGUCGGACGGCGCGCCGCCGGGAAGACAAUCCUCUGGUUGGGCCUCCUGCCCAUCGUCUUGGUGGCUGCGCUUGGAGACGUUGUCAUUCUGAGCAUGAAAUAG